UGGGAUAAGCCUGGGAAACUGGGUCUAAUACUGGAUAUGACUUCUCACCGCAUGGUGGGGGGUGGAAAGAUUUAUUGGUCUUGGAUGGACUCGCGGCCUAUCAGCUUGUUGGUGAGGUAAUGGCUCACCAAGGCGACGACGGGUAGCCGGCCUGAGAGGGUGACCGGCCACACUGGGACUGAGACACGGCCCAGACUCCUACGGGAGGCAGCAGUGGGGAAUAUUGCACAAUGGGCGCAAGCCUGAUGCAGCGACGCCGCGUGAGGGAUGACGGCCUUCGGGUUGUAAACCUCUUUCAGUAGGGAAGAAGCGAAAGUGACGGUACCUGCAGAAGAAGCGCCGGCUAACUACGUGCCAGCAGCCGCGGUAAUACGUAGGGCGCGAGCGUUAUCCGGAAUUAUUGGGCGUAAAGAGCUCGUAGGCGGUUUGUCGCGUCUGCCGUGAAAGUCCGGGGCUUAACCCCGGAUCUGCGGUGGGUACGGGCAGACUAGAGUGCAGUAGGGGAGACUGGAAUUCCUGGUGUAGCGGUGAAAUGCGCAGAUAUCAGGAGGAACACCGAUGGCGAAGGCAGGUCUCUGGGCUGUAACUGACGCUGAGGAGCGAAAGCAUGGGGAGCGAACAGGAUUAGAUACCCUGGUAGUCCAUGCCGUAAACGUUGGGCACUAGGUGUGGGGGACAUUCCACGUUUUCCGCGCCGUAGCUAACGCAUUAAGUGCCCCGCCUGGGGAGUACGGCCGCAAGGCUAAAACUCAAAGGAAUUGACGGGGGCCCGCACAAGCGGCGGAGCAUGCGGAUUAAUUCGAUGCAACGCGAAGAACCUUACCAAGGCUUGACAUGUUCCUGACCGCCGUAGAGAUACGGUUUCCCCUUUGGGGCAGGUUCACAGGUGGUGCAUGGUUGUCGUCAGCUCGUGUCGUGAGAUGUUGGGUUAAGUCCCGCAACGAGCGCAACCCUCGUUCCAUGUUGCCAGCACGUCGUGGUGGGGACUCAUGGGAGACUGCCGGGGUCAACUCGGAGGAAGGUGGGGACGACGUCAAAUCAUCAUGCCCCUUAUGUCUUGGGCUUCACGCAUGCUACAAUGGCCGGUACAAUGGGUUGCGAUACUGUGAGGUGGAGCUAAUCCCAAAAAGCCGGUCUCAGUUC
rnacentral:rRNA from 1 species